rnacentral:rRNA from 1 species
GAUGAACGCUGGCGGCGUGCCUAAUACAUGCAAGUCGAGCGAACGGACGAGAAUCUUGCUUCUCUGAUGUUAGCGGCGGACGGGUGAGUAACACGUGGAUAACCUACCUAUAAGACUGGGAUAACUUCGGGAAACCUGAGCUAAUACCGGAUAAUAUUUUGAACCGCAUGGUUCAAAAGUGAAAGACGGUCUUGCUGUCACUGAUAGAUGGAUCCGCGCUGCAUUAGCUAGUUGGUAAGGUAACGGCCUACCAAGGCGACGAUGCAUAGCCGACCUGAGAGGGUGAUCAGCCACACUGGAACUGAGACACGGUCCAGACUCCUACGGGAGGCAGCAGUAGGGAAUCUUCCGCAAUGGGCGAAAGCCUGACGGAGCAACGCCGCGUGAGUGAUGAAGGUCUUCGGAUCGUAAAACUCUGUUAUUAGGGAAGAACAUAUGUGUAUGUAUCUCUGCACGUCUUGACGUUACCUACACAGAAAGCAACGGCUAACUUCGUG